UACAGUUUUUAAUUUUAUAACAAAGUGUCAGAAUAUUGUUUUAUUUGUACUCAUCUUUUAACUGAACGUGAAACUGUUACUGUUGAUCGUGGUAUGAAGACAGUUUUCAAUGCAAGUACUGAAAGAGAUGAUGGAUAUAUGGAAUUUCUCAAAAAAUAAAAAUCUGUGGCAAUACAUAGCGAAUGUCGUAAAAAUUAUACUCGAGAGUGUUCUAUUGCUGCAGCCAUUAAAAGAAAGCGAUGAGCAAUUUAAUAUGACAAAUACAACUAUCGUUGUUGGAAAAGCUCAAAAUCAAUCGAAAAUUUGUACACGCUGCGAUACGACAUCUGCUUUUUACAGGAGUGGAAAAACAACAGUUUUCAACAGUAAUUCAACUCAACCAGAGGGUAUCACCAACAGAAUUCAAUUUUUUCUUCUAUGUACGGAGCUCCUAAACAACUACUUGUUGAGAUAAGUUUCGAUACGCGUGUUUCGUUAAAAACCGAUACCGAUGAGGAAUCGCUUUUGGGGCAAUUUAAUUGUAUCCAAAGUGAAAUAGAA